CCUUAACAUUUUUUUUUGUGUAGACUAGGUUACUGUAUGAAUACUGUCCUCGAUGCAAAGUGUAAUAUCACCACCUUGUGGCAUACAUCAGCGUUGUCUUUCAUUUUACUGAAAUCAUUUACCAACGAUGCAGGAGAUCGGUAGCCAGAUGCCCCAAUCAAGUUCGUAGUGGUGACCAGGUUCCCAGAAUGUUAAGGCAGACGCAUUGUCCCGGCUGUAUGACACAGAGGAGCGGCCCAUGGAUCCUAACCCCACACUCCCGGACUCCUGCCUGGUGGCGCCGGUAGUUUGGGCUGGACGUAGACAUUGAGCGGGCGUUACGUGCAGAGCCUGCUCCACUCCAGUGUCCCGCUGGGCGUCUGUACGUUCCAUCUGCUGUCCGUGAACGAUUGAUCUAUUGGGCCCACACAUCACCCUCCUCUGGUCGUCCAGGCAUCGGACAGUACGCUGUCUGAGAGGGAAGUACUGGUGGCCCACCUUGGCUAAGGACGUGAGGGUUUAUGUUUCCUCCUGCUCGGUGUGCACCCAGUGUAAAGCUCCUAGGCACCUGCCCAGAGGGUAACACCACGAUCCUGCUCGAAGUCCUGCCGUCUCCUCCCUCUGCCCGGUGUCCCUAUGGCCCUACAGACUGCGGAGGCCUUGUUUACACACGUCUUCCGGCACUAGUGUCUGAUCGGGGUCCCCAGUUCACUUCGAGGGUCUGGAGGGCGUUCAUGGAACGUCUGGGGGGUCUCGAUCAGCCUUCCCUCGGAUUUUCACCCUGAGAGUAAUGGGCAGGUGGAGAGAGUGAACCAGGAUAUGGGUAGGUUUCUGCGGUCUUAUUGUCAGGACCGGCCGGGGGAGUGGGCGGCGUUCGUGCCCUGGGCCGAGAUGGCUUAGAACUCGCUCCGCCACUCCUCCACUAACCUCUCGCCCUUCCAGUGCAUACUGGGAUACCAGUAUUGGCAUCAGAGUCAGACCGAGGCUCCUGCGGUGGACGAUUGGUUCAGGUGCAUGGAGGAGACCUGGGACGCCACCCAUGUUCAUCUCCAGCGGGCAGUGCUGCGCCAGAAGGCCAGCACAGACCAUCACCGCAGUGAGGCCCCGGUGUUCUGGCUCUCGACCCGAAAUCUGUCCCUCCACCUGCCCUACCGGAAGCUGGAGCCACGGUUUGUGGGGCCAAUUAAAGUCCAGAGGAGACUGAACGAGGUUAGUUACCGGUUACAGCUUCCUCCCGAUUACUGUAUUAACCCCUCAUUCCCAUGUGUCUCUCCUCAGGCCAGUGAUGGCUUUCCCGCUCCAGGAGUUUGAGGUGCGGUAGGUCCUUUUGGACAUCGAGGGGGCCCCGGCGUGCUACAUACUGGAAUCGAGGCAUCGGGCGAGGGCCUGGGAGGGGUACGGUCCGGAGGAGAGAUGCUGGGUCCCGAUGGAGGAUGUUUUGGACCCUUCUAUGCUGCGGGAGUUCCACCCUCUUCAUCCGGAUCGCCCUGCACCUUGCCCUCUGGGUCGUCCCCGAGGCCGGUGUCAGCGCACUGCUGGAGCCGCGCGUCAAGGGGGGUACUGUCACGACUUCCGCUGAAGUCGGUCCCUCUCCUUGUUCGGGCGGCGUUCGGCGGUCAACGUCACCGUUCUUCUAGCCAUCGCUGAUCCACCUUUCAUUUUCCAUUGGUUUUGUCUUGUUUUCCCGCACACCUGGUUCACAUUCCCUCACCAGACUAAAUGUAUAUUACCCUCUGUUUCCCCCAUGUCUGUGUGUGGAAUUGUUCUUUGUUUAGGGUGUUACGCUACAGGCUGGCUUGCGCUAGGUUUGUUUCAAACCUAGGUUUGUUUGUUUUGUUUAAUCCGGUUCAUGUUGCCAUGGUUGUGCUUUGUGCUGCCUCGCCUGUGCCUUUGGGUCAGGGUGUAUAUUAAAGUUCUCCUGUUAUCACCCAUCUCUGCUCUCCUCUGCCUGACUUCCCGGCAACCAGUCACUCACCCCGUUACAGUGCCUCACAGCAGCAAGAUUUGUGACCUGUUGCCUCAAGAAAAGGGAAACCAGUAAUGAACAAACACCAUUGUAAAUGCAACUCAUAUUUCUGUCUAUUUAUUUUCCCUUUUGUACUUUAACUAUUUGCACAUCACUACAAAACUAUAUAGCCAAAAUAUGAGUGUAAUGUUUACUGUUCAUUUAUAUUGCUUAUUUCACUUUUAUUUAUGAUCUGUUUAAUUUGCUUUCGCAAUGUAAACAUGUUUCCAUGCCAAUAAAGCCCUCUGAAUUGAA
ensembl:lncRNA